GCUCCGUAGGUGAACCUGCGGAGGGAUCAUUACAGAGUUCUCGCCCUCACGGGUAGAUCUCCCACCCACUGUUAUCGUUGCUGUCGUUUCUUUGGCGUGCCGCCAACGCCCAGGCCGCCGGCGCCUAGCUGCCGGCUCGCGCCCGCCAUAGGUCUACCAACUCUGAAUGGUAGUGUCGUCUGAGUACUAUAUAAUAGAUAAAACUUUCAACAACGGAUCUCUUGGUCCUG
rnacentral:misc_RNA from 1 species